rnacentral:sRNA from 1 species
AGGGACCUGUCUCUUCCCACUGGAUCUGGCUCAGGCUGGGGGUGAGGAAUGGGGGUCAGUGGAACUCAGCAGGGAGGUGAGCCGGCACUCAGCCCACACAGGGAGGCAUGGAGGAGGGCCAGGGAGGCGUACCCCCUGGGCUGAGUUCCUCACUUGGGUGGAAAGGUGAUGGGUUCAGGAAUGGAGAAGUCACUGCUGGGUGGGGGCAGGCUUGCAUUCCCUCCAGGAGAUUAGGGUCUGUGAGAUCCAUGAAGACAGCAGCACCAGGAGCUCCUGGCAUUUCUACUACGAUGGGGAGCUCUUCCUCUCCCAAAACCUAGAGACUCAGAAAUGGACAGCGCCCCAGUCCUCCAGAGCUCAGACCUUGGCUAUGAACGUCACGAAUUUCUGGAAGAAAGAAGCCAUGAAGACCAAGACACACUAUCGCGCUAUGCAGGCAGACUGCCGGCAGAAACUAAAGCGAUAUCUAGAAUCCGGCGUAGUCCUGAGGAGAACAGUGCCCCCCAUGGUGAAUGUCACCCGCAGCGAAGCCUCAGAGGGCAACAUCACCGUGACGUGCUGGGCUUCCAGCUUCUAUCCCCGGAAUAUCACACUGACCUGGCGUCAGGAUGGGAUAUCUUUGAGCCACAACGCCCAACAGUGGGGGGAUGUCCUGCCUGAUGGGAAUGGAACCUACCAGACCUGGGUGGCCACCAGGAUUUGCCAAGGAGAGGAGCAGAGGUUCACCUGCUACGUGGAACACAGCGGGAAUCACGGCACUCACCCUGUGCCCUCUGGGAAGGCACUGGUGCUUCAGAGUCAACGGACAGAGUUUCCAUAUGUUCCUGUUGUUAUGACAUGUUUUGUUAUUAUUAUUAUUCUCUGUGUCCCUUGUUGCAAGAAGAAAACAUCAGCGGCAGAGGGUCCAG